UGUAGCCCAGUGGUAAACCAUUGUCCUCAAAAUUAAGCAUGACUAUGAGGGUAAUGGUUCGAGUCCCCACUGACUCAACCUCCAUCAAUUAAAUAUAAUUGUGUGGAGACUACUUAUAACGUCUUUCUCCCUUAUGAAAUGCGAGUGGAGUAGAGACAUCCCUUCUCCGUGAGGGCUAUUUGGCUGGGCAUGUGCUUCAUAGACUAAAAAUGUAAUAAUGUAAGUCUCAUGUAUAUAUAUCUAAUUGUAAAUAUCAGUGUAAUGACUUGCUGUCAUAACAGUCAUAGCAGUUGUAUAUAUCUCUGUGUAAUACAGUAACCUGAUGCUUAAUCAGUUUAAAAAAAAAAAAAAAAACUGAGUCUGAUGGCACCUAAAUCGUCA
rnacentral:lncRNA from 1 species